rnacentral:lncRNA from 1 species
AUCUUAUUAAAUCUUAACAAACAAAAAGAAGUACUGCUUUACUUGGUCUACUCUUUAGCAAAGUCUUUAGUUUUAUAUUUUCGUGUAUACUCAUCUUUUAUAUCGCAUUUGUUUCCUAGUAACUUUAAGAUCCACGCUUCUCCACUUUUGGGUAUAGAGAACUUCUUCUGGAAAAAAUAAAAGUCAACAUUUAGAAGAUAACAUCAUGUAUAAAAGAUUGACCAUGUUCACAUAAUAACAAUAACAAUAAUAAUAAUAAUAAUAAUAAUAAUAAUAAUAAUAAUAAUAAUAAUAACUUCAUACUCUCACAAGAUCCACCAAUUUCUUCUUCUCUUUAUUGUCAAAAUUUUUCCAAAUAUCUACAUAUAGAUGUGUUAGUUUUUGAGUUCUUGCAAUAAUUUUUAGAAAGCUAGCAAGUUUUUGGCCCUUUUUUCCAAUAGUUUGGUUACGAUUAUCAAACGACGCAUUAAUUAUCUUUUCCGACGAAAAUUUCCAAAUAUCUUUUAGCAAAGUAGGUCCAUGAACUUUUUUUGCUCCUAUAUUACCUAGAAUUGAAAAGAUUUGAAUCAUAUGAUAUAAUUAGAAAAAAAGGCAGCAGUCAACUGAAUCAAUUCAAUCAAUUGCCCGCCAAUUUAACAACAUCCAAAGAUCACAAAUCACAAUAUAGCUAGCACAAAAAAAAUUAUCUCUAGAAAUCACAAUAUAGCUAGCACAAAAAAAAACUAUCUCUAGAAAUCACAAACUGCCGUAGUUGUACAUCACAAAUCACAAGUCGGCUUAGGCUCAAGUGUUUGGGUACCUGGUAACCAGAGUACUUUGACGAUGAAGAUAAGAAAGUGAAGGAGAAGAAUAAUGUCAGUAACAAUUUCGAAACCUACAUAAAAAGAUAAGACUGAGAGUUAAACAACAUUGAUACCUCAAUAACUUUUUAAAGCAACAGUAAAGAAACUUAGAUAUUUAACUGGUUUCCUCCUUGUAUGCUUAAAUCUUUACCUCAUAAAAAAAAAAGAUAUGCUCAAAUUGAUUAUCUACAAGCCUUUCCUUCAAAUGGUAAAGCUAAAAUCAAAAUAUUACUUUAACAAUGCAGUAUUUUUCUAUUCGAACAUAGCUAAAUUUAAAGGCAGGAUCACUGUACAGAAAUAUAAGAAAUCUUAGCAAUAUAUCUCAUAGAAGUUUCUAACUUAUAAUUAACUAAAUCUAAAAGUUCAAGCAAUUACAAUCCCAGUUUCUCAGCACAAAAAUGCUAAGAGCUAUAUAAGAAGCACAUCAGAUGUGCUAAAGUUUAGGUUAAACUUUAAAGUGAAUAAGCAUAUGAAAACUUCGCACAUCAAACAGACGACAGAGACUAUCAAGAACAGAAAAAAUUUUCGGAUACGUGUCCCUAAUCCAUAUCAAGCACUCACUCGGAUGAUUUCAACAAAUCGAAAAGAAACCAAACUAUAUAUGUGAAAAGACAACUGUUUUAAUUGAGUUUAAAUAAACUUUUGAACUCAAUUCAACAGAACAUGAACAUCAAACAUAAUAGUUUUCUUAUUAAUCUAAUAAGAAAUAACAAUCCUAAGAACAACUUAAUAAUACAAGAGUGAAAAUAUUUGCCUGAUCAAUUUAAAUCAAGAAUUAAACAACAUAAGCAACACAAAUUUUUUUAUAUCAUUAUGAUGCUGGAGUUUUAUAAUUUAUAUCUACCGCGAGCUCACAUCAAUUUUCUUAAAUAGUUAAUUAGGUAAUCUCAGGGGCAAAAUAUUCACCUAACCAAAUACUAAAAAAAUGGUCUUCUCCAAAAAUAUAACUACACCAAGAAAUUACCUUAAAUACUCAAUAAAUCAUCUUCUUAAUACAUAAAUCCAUUGCACACGAGUUUAAGAAAUAUCAUCAGAAAUUAUCCAAGAAACACUUCUCAAAACUUGAAUUACAUCAACUUUAUCAUUUGAACCAGAGAAGAAGGAAUACCAAAAAAGAUGCGCAAGUAGUAUUAGUUUUAUCACAGUCAAUAUAGGUGGGUAUCCUUAGGUUUAUAAAAUCUCAAAAGCUCACAUGAUUUUUUUAAUAUUAAAACACACAUAAUUUUUUUUCAAUUUUAGAUUUUCUAAAAAAAAAUAGCAUGUUCAUAUUCAGCCUCUUCCUCCUGGUACAAUAACAAAAGCUCUGACAGAUGAAUGAUUUUCUAAAAUAUAUAUUACAGAAAAAAAGAAGAAAAAAACAUAUUCUACUGCACCAACUUUUCUAUAAAAUCUCAACAAAUAGGGAUCUAAAAUAUAGAAAUAGUAAAGUUGAAUCACUAAAUUCAUAAUGCAAUGUAGAAACAUAUGCUAUAAAAUCAAUUAUGUUGCAACAAUCAGUAAGUGGUAUGAUUUGAUUAUUGGAAAAACAGUUUCAUAGAUUCUUGAAGCUAGAAAAUUAUAUAUACCAACAAUACCAAAUUAGAAAAGAUACUAUAAAAUUCUCAUUCAAGAAUUAAAUCUGCGGCAAUAAAAAUUCAACACCAGCAAUUACAAAUUUUCAUCAACCAAAUUAGAAGUUUCAGGGCGACGGUCUGGGAAAUGAGUGUAAUAGUUAUCAGAGGUGCGAGGAGUAGCCGACCGAUUUGGGUUUUGUUAAAUUUAUUGAAUUGUUUUGUCAGAGAACGUAAUUGCUAUCGCUCCAAGGUGCGGUCAUGUAGUUAUUGAGAUGGGAGAUAAAAAUUAUUGAAAAUCAUCAACAAAGUAACCAAAAAAACAAAAAACGAAGUCACCAUAUUCGUUGGCUUUUGGAAUCUGAUGAUAUUCAAACUUUGUUUUUGUAACAUCCACAGACUCUAAUAUAGUCAAUCCACAUGAUAGUAAAACUUAAAGACAAAUAAAGAUACUUACCAACAAGUUUGAUGGUGGCCGGCAAUUUGGUUGUCAUGGGGAUUUGGAGAGCCUGCCGUAAUAAUUUUUUUUUUUUAAUCCUAAUUUCUGGGCAUGAGAGGGCUCUCAGUAUGAGAGGGUAUUGGCCGUUAAUAUUUGCUUUCCGUAAAUAGAUUAACGGUAAUUAUUUUACUGUCG